rnacentral:rRNA from 1 species
UCUGGUUGAUCCUGCCAGUAGCAUAUGCUUGUCUCAAAGAUUAAGCCAUGCAUGUCUAAGUACAAGCCAUAUUAUGGUGAAACCGCGAAUGGCUCAUUAAAUCACACCUAAUCUACUGGAAUGUUAGCAGUUACUUGGAUAACUGAGGUAAUUCUUGAGCUAAUACAUGCGAAAAAUCCCGACUCACGAAGGGAUGCUUUUAUUAGAUCAAAACCAAACAGCUUCGGCUGUAACACUGGUGACUCUGAAUAACUUUGGGCUGAUCGCAUUGCCUUGAGCAGGCGACAUUUCCUUCGAAGGUGUGCCCUAUCAACUGUCGACUGUGAUAUAGACGCUCACAGUGGUUUUGACGGGUAACGGGGAAUCAGGGUUCGAUUCCGGAGAGGGAGCCUUAAAAACGGCUACCACAUCCAAGGAAGGCAGCAGGCACGCAAAUUACCCAAUGAACGAAGUUCGAGGUAGUGACGAAAAAUAACAAUACAAGACUCAUCCGAGGCCUUGUAAUUGGAAUGAGUACACUUUAAAACCGUUUCACGAGGAUCUAUUGGAGGGCAAGUCUGGUGCCAGCAGCCGCGGUAAUUCCAGCUCCAAUAGCGUAUAUUAAAGUUGUUGUGGUUAAAAAGCUCGUAGUUGGAUUUCGGCGGGUAUUGGUUGGUUUGAAUUGCUUCAACACUGACUUUUUUACCCGUGUGUUUUGCCAGAAUUUAGCGGGUGAUCUUCGCCGAUUGUCCGUUGGAACUGGUAGGUUUACUUUGAAAAAAUUAGAGUGCUCAAAGCAAGCUUACUGCUUGAAUAGUUGCGCAUGGAAUAAUAGAAUAGGAAGUCGUUUCUAUUUUGUUGGUUUUCGGAAAUCGACUUAAUGAUUAAUAGGGAUAGUCGGGGGCAUUCGUAUUCAAACGACAGAGGUGAAAUUCUUGGACCGUUUGAAGACGAACUAAGGCGAAAGCAUUUGCCAAGAAUGUUUUCAUUAAUCAAGAACGAAAGUUAGAGGUUCGAAGGCGAUUAGAUACCGCCCUAGUUCUAACCAUAAACGAUGCCAGCUAGCGAUCUGCCGGCGUUUAAUUUUCUGACUUGGCAGGGAGCUUCCGGGAAACCAAAGCUUGUGGGUUCCAGGGGAAGUAUGGUUGCAAAGCUGAAACUUAAAGUAAUUGACGGAAGGGCACCACCAGGAGUGGAGCCUGUGGCUUAAUUUGACUCAACACGGGAAAUCUCACCAGGCCCGGACACUGGAAGGAUU